GUGGUAAUGCCGGAUGCUCCAGUUGAUCGCAUGGUCUUCUGGGAAAGCUUUCGCGGUAUGGGGAUGGGGUCGCGUCCUAUCAGCUUGACGGCGGGGUAACGGCCCACCGUGGCUUCGACGGGUAGCCGGCCUGAGAGGGCGACCGGCCACAUUGGGACUGAGAUACGGCCCAGACUCCUACGGGAGGCAGCAGUGGGGAAUAUUGCACAAUGGGCGCAAGCCUGAUGCAGCGACGCCGCGUGAGGGAUGGAGGCCUUCGGGUUGUAAACCUCUUUUAUCGGGGAGCAAGCGAGAGUGAGUUUACCCGUUGAAUAAGCACCGGCUAACUACGUGCCAGCAGCCGCGGUAAUACGUAGGGUGCAAGCGUUAUCCGGAAUUAUUGGGCGUAAAGGGCUCGUAGGCGGUUCGUCGCGUCCGGUGUGAAAGUCCAUCGCUUAACGGUGGAUCCGCGCCGGGUACGGGCGGGCUUGAGUGCGGUAGGGGAGACUGGAAUUCCCGGUGUAACGGUGGAAUGUGUAGAUAUCGGAA
rnacentral:rRNA from 1 species